GUCCACGCCGUAAACGAUGGGCACUAGGUGUGGGAGGUGUCGACUCCUCCCGUGCCGACGCUAACGCAUUAAGUGCCCCGCCUGGGGAGUACGGCCGCAAGGCUAAAACUCAAAGGAAUUGACGGGGGCCCGCACAAGCAGCGGAGCAUGUGGUUUAAUUCGACGCAACGCGAAGAACCUUACCUGGGCUUGACAUGUUGGUGACAGGUGUGGAAACACACCCUUCCUUCGGGACACCAUCACAGGUGGUGCAUGGCUGUCGU
rnacentral:rRNA from 1 species